UGUUAUUGCAGCUCAAUCUCUCUCCUCACCUACCAUCUCAAUCUUUCUUCAUUUACGGUGGCCACCUCCACGCCGAGAUGCCGCCGCCGUAUUCCAGACGUCGCCGCUGCCCAUUUCUCAUUUCUUGUUCAGCCUCAUCAUCUCUCUCUGUGUGGAUGAGAUGCCGGUGGAGCUGCUCGUCGAGUGUCUUCAGAUCUAUCUGAUCCGCCCUCACAAAUCCGCCGCCGGUGUGGAUGUCUCCCUCCACCAUUUCUCCGGAAAGCGCCGAUGCGAGGUCAGUGGAGCUUACAGUGUGAACGCGCAAUAAGCGACGAACUUCAACAUCGAAAAGCAAAGCGAGCCGAUAAGUUCGGAUAGUCCAAUUGAUGGGACUCCUAGACCUGCAGUUCAUUCGUCCUGCUUAGUUUUGACUGCAUCUGAUACCAGCACUCAUGGUGAAUUUCUGUCUUUCAUAAACAUGCAAAUGAGUGUCUUCCCCCAUUGAAUAUGAGCCAACAGAUUCUGAGUUACGGACACCGGAAUUGAUUGCUAAGGAUACACAUGGAAAUGAAUGGCAAUUCAAACAUAUAUUUAGAGAGGAAGAGAAUGGGGUUUUAAGAGUACUAAACGACUAAAAUUGGUGUUGUGCAUUAAAGGAAAUUAUCCCAAUAGAUUGCAAAUAGAUGUGUCAAAAAAGGCAAAUCAUUGAACAGAAAUUGUAAAAUGAGUUGUAGGAACUUUGUGAUCCAAAAUAUGAAUGAGAGAUAGCACUCAAGAUUUCACAGAUGAGGUGCAUCACGGCAAUGACAAAUACAGAAACAGGAAAGAGAAGGAAAAGAAAAGCGGCUCUCUCUCUUCACUCUACAAUCAUUAUAGAGAGAUGAUAACAUUGCAAGCAUGGGCGGCUACAACACCUACUCUACUGCAUCAAGACAUCACGAUAUUAAAAAAAGGAUUAAUUGCGUUGGGAAGAGCUGUGAAGAUAUUCUGGAAGAAUAGAAUAUAUAUAUAUUGUGUAAUAGUAUAAUAGUAUUUUCUUUCAAAAGCCUAUGCAAGUAUAGAACACAUAGGCUGCAUCCUACCCCCACACAGUUCUCGAUACAUACAAAGAAAACUGAUACUAUAAGCUUUACUUUUAAUCAACUGGACUUUACAAUAAGCUUGAUAGACAUCAUGUUAUUAUCUUCUUUCUAUUCUCUAUUGUUAUUGCAUUUAUGAUGUUGUUUGAGAUAAAUUAUGACUUUAGCGUAAUGUCUUACCUUUAAUUUCAUUAAUAUGCCGAUCAACAAUGCUAGUGAUGUAAUGUUUUGAAGAAAAGACACAUUGUACAUCUUAUUUUGCAACCAAUGUUGAUGUUGCUAAAUUGCUUGAAAGUAUCGAUCCUUUUAAACAAUUUAGUCACCUCUUCAUUGCUUUCCAACAUAUAUGUACUAUUUGCCUUUCUCUUGCAACACAUUUACGUUAUCAACAUUGUUUAUCGUUGUAUUCAUGUAAGUAAAGUAAGACAUCACGGCGAAGUUUGUAUGCCUCUCAAAUAAUAUCCCAAAAGCAAUAAGUUUAGACAAUAAUACAUUACUAUUGAAGAAAGGUGGAGUUGGUUGUAGAAGGCUAAGGAGGUGAACAUCAUGUCUAUCUAAGUAAUUUCAACCUUGUCAGAACUGAAUGCCUUUUUCUAUCAGAUUGGUUGCCUACUUGAAUAGAGUGUUCUUCACAUGCCACUUAGUUCUUGAGCUUUUUUCGUUAACAUGGGUUGACUAUAUUUAGUGAUAAGUUGCAAAAUGUUAUUUGAAUAUUUUUGUAUCUUAGCGAGGUUGAGGUGGUUGCGAUGAGAAGCUUCGAUAGGUGAAGAGGCCCUUCUUCUUUUGUUUGUCCAUGGAAGUUGUGUAUCAUCUUUGUUAUUUCCAAAAAGACAUAGCUCAAUUACUUGCUCAAAAUGAUGGCUAUGGUGUAUUAAAGAUAUUAUCCAUAAUGGAAUUUGUUUUUUCAGCAUA